AGUGAACGCUGGCGGUAGGCCUAACACAUGCAAGUCGAACGGCAGCACAGUAAGAGCUUGCUCUUACGGGUGGCGAGUGGCGGACGGGUGAGGAAUACAUCGGAAUCUACUUUUUCGUGGGGGAUAACGUAGGGAAACUUACGCUAAUACCGCAUACGACCUACGGGUGAAAGCAGGGGAUCUUCGGACCUUGCGCGAUUGAAUGAGCCGAUGUCGGAUUAGCUAGUUGGCGGGGUAAAGGCCCACCAAGGCGACGAUCCGUAGCUGGUCUGAGAGGAUGAUCAGCCACACUGUAACUGAGACACGGUCCAGACUCCUACGGGAGGCAGCAGUGGGGAAUAUUGGACAAUGGGCGCAAGCCUGAUCCAGCCAUACCGCGUGGGUGAAGAAGGCCUUCGGGUUGUAAAGCCCUUUUGUUGGGAAAGAAAGGCAGCAGGUUAAUACCCCGCUGUUCUGACGGUACCCAAAGAAUAAGCACCGGCUAACUUCGUG
rnacentral:rRNA from 1 species